rnacentral:rRNA from 1 species
GAUGAACGCUGGCGGCGUGCCUAAUACAUGCAAGUCGGGCGAACAGAUGAGGAGCUUGCUCCUCUGACGUUAGCGGCGGACGGGUGAGUAACACGUGGAUAACCUACCUAUAAGACUGGGAUAACUUCGGGAAACCGGAGCUAAUACCGGAUAAUAUAUUGAACCGCAUGGUUCAAUAGUGAAAGACGGUUUUGCUGUCACUUAUAGAUGGAUCCGCGCCGCAUUAGCUAGUUGGUAAGGUAACGGCUUACCAAGGCGACGAUGCGUAGCCGACCUGAGAGGGUGAUCGCCCACACGGGAACUGAAACACGGACCAGACUCCUACGGGGGGCAGCAGUAGGGAAUCUUCCGCAAUGGGCGAAAGCCUGACGGAGCAACGCCGCGUGAGUGAUGAAGGUCUUCGGAUCGUAAAACUCUGUUAUUAGGGAAGAACAAAUGUGUAAGUAACUAUGCACGUCUUGACGGUACCUAAUCAGAAAGCCACGGCUAACUACGUG